AUGUCACAUAGCUGCCCUGGCACUGUUCAGCCAGGAAAAAUCCAUGGGACUUCACCUGCAGGGGAAAGUUUUAGCCAAACCAUCACUUCUGCCAAAAGAAUGAGGAAUUCCUUGAGGAUUAUUCCAAAAUCUUUGGGAACGAUGGAAAUUCUGUUGAUUGCAGUCUGUGCUUUCCAUUACGGAAGACAUUUGUGCUACAAGUUUGCUGAGGAUGGAACACUAAUGAAAUGGGUAAUUUUAUAAACGCACUGGGGAGGGCCACCACCAGUGCUUGUCAUUCCUGAUCUGCAACAUCACCUGCUGCUCCAGACCAGAAAAGGGAGCAAAGAAGAGAAAUACGUGUUUAUCAUUGAACUGAACUGAAAAGAAGGAAGACGAGAACGAUAAGAUCAUUGCCUGCAGCACUUUGUUUAUGAGAACAUCCUUCCAGUGAUAUAUGCCUGCACCAGGUGAAAGUAUUGUGUCACCCCUAACAUAUUUUAAAUGCCAGGG
rnacentral:lncRNA from 1 species